GAUGAACGCUAGCUACAGGCUUAACACAUGCAAGUCGAGGGGAAACGAUAGAGAAAGCUUGCUUUUUCUAGGCGUCGACCGGCGCACGGGUGAGUAACGCGUAUCCAACCUGCCCACCACUUGGGGAUAACCUUGCGAAAGUAAGACUAAUACCCAAUGACGUCUCUAGAAGACAUCUGAAAGAGAUUAAAGAUUUAUCGGUGAUGGAUGGGGAUGCGUCUGAUUAGCUUGUUGGCGGGGUAACGGCCCACCAAGGCGACGAUCAGUAGGGGGUUCUGAGAGGAAGGUCCCCCACAUUGGAACUGAGACACGGUCCAAACUCCUACGGGAGGCAGCAGUGAGGAAUAUUGGUCAAUGGACGAGAGUCUGAACCAGCCAAGUAGCGUGAAGGAUGAAGGUCCUACGGAUUGUAAACUUCUUUUAUAAGGGAAUAAAACCUCCCACGUGUGGGAGCUUGUAUGUACCUUAUGAAUAAGCAUCGGCUAACUCCGUG
rnacentral:rRNA from 1 species